rnacentral:lncRNA from 1 species
UCAUGGGGAACAUAAUGCCCUGGGGGCCCAGAUCGAGGGCUUUCUUGGCCCAGGUGGCGCACGACUCCGGAAGGCGGAGGAUGGCGGGGGUGCGGGUGGCGGCAAGGGCGUGGAGACAAGGGAGAGCGUCGGAGACGCCGCCAUGGCCGUGCUCCAUGUCGACGACGACGAAGUCGUAGCCGGAGAGGCCAGCGAUCUCGGCGAGGGUAGGUGAGAAGCUGAGAAGAAAGAGGCCGUAGAGGGUGUCGCCAUUUUUGAGGCGGGUUUUGAGGGUCGGAGGUGGGGCGAUGGUUGAUAGCGACGAUGAAGAGGAGGAGGAGCUGAUUAUCUGGGGUUUGUUGGUUCUUUGUUUAGAGAGACGGAUGAUGGUGGUAGUAGUAAUAGUGGGGGAGAAGGGGCGGAAUAAGGUUUUAGGAGAAGGAGGAAUGGAGGAGAAGGGUUUCUUGAGGGUUGAGAACAGUAAGAAAGAAGUAGUGGGAGUGAAGGAGGGGAGAGUGAUGGCCAUAGCUAGNNNNNNNNNNNNNNNNNNNNNNNNNNNNNNNNNNNNNNNNNNNNNNNNNNNNNNNNNNNNNNNNNNNNNNNNNNNNNNNNNNNNNNNNNNNNNNNNNNNNUUUUUAUUUUUAAAAAUGCAUUGAAUGAAAAAUAUUACAGGGGCAUAACCCAAAAGCAUUAUAGCUAAAACAUGAUAGAGGCAUACCACAAUGAUGAUCAUACUAUAAUAAAUAGAAAGAGGACAUUUACAAUUUUCAAAUGCUGAGGAGAAAUGUGUAAUCUGCAUUUUCAUUUGAUCAUUUGUAAGAUAUAUCUUUGGCAAUGAGAAACUAUAUGCGCAAAUAUUCAGGCACAAGCUCAUGAUUUACUACUUUGUUAUCUUCAAAUCGUUUUCUACUAAUCAAUUGAGAGAUAGACUCCAAAAUCAGUCACCACAAGAAAAAAUUCGAUUGAGUACUGCAUGUGUUGAGCAUUGAAAAAAUAAAAUGAUUCAAAGACUCAACUGUCCCACAUGCAAUUGCUUUCUUGUUCAUGCUAAAAUACCAUCUUUUCCCCUGUUCCCCAUGACUGCCCCAGCCCAUUUAUUUCCCCUUUUCUUUUUGUCAAUGAAUGAAUGUAAAUAUCACUAGAUCUGAUAACAAUAUAACAACCCAUGACACAAUUUAGUACUAAUUGGCAUUGGACUUGUCCACUUCACCAAUCAGUCUGGCACUUUAUCACUCGGGCCAAUGAAAAGUUACUCUGUUUAUAUAUAUAUAUAUAUAUAUAUAUAUAUAUAUAUAUAUAUAUAUAUAUAUAUAUAUAUAUAUAUUUCUCUUUGAUUUGAUAUAAAGAGAGAAAUAGAUCGAGAGAGAAUAAGCUUAAGAGAUGGCAAGCCUUAGAACUCAGAGAAACCUGUUAUGGUAUACUUGUCCCCAAUUUCUUCUGGUGAUCCAAACCAAAGUGAUCUUCUGCUACCAAUACAAGGUUGGAGAUUUAGAUGCUUGGGGUUUACCCACUUCAUCAAAUCGACUUGUCUACACCAAGUGGUCUAAGAAUCACAACUUGAAGAUCGGAGACUCUCUCAGUGAGUUUGUUCUUCUCAACUUUGAUCUCUAGUUUUAAAAUUUUCAAAAAUGUAUGCUAUGUUUUGCUUAUUCUCAAAUCCCAAAUGAUUAUGUUUAUGCGCAGUUUUCCUAUACCCACCAAGUCAAGAUUCAGUUGUUCAAGUAACAGAGCAAUCAUACCAGAGCUGCAACCUAACAGAUCCAAUAUUGUACAUGAACAACGGCAAUUCUCUCUUCAAUGUUACUUCACCAGGAGCCUACUAUUUCACAAGUGGACAACAGGGCCACUGCCAAAAAUUACAAAAACUCCACAUUUCUGUGCUCUUUUCUGGUAAUGGGUCUUCAGCCUCCUCACCUUCUUAUGGUCCUAGUGCAUUACCAAAAACCUCACCUUCUUAUCCAAAUGUGUUUGGGUCAAUUCCGGCGUUGCCUUCUUCCUCUCCUAUGGUCAGCAUUCCGGUCUUCUUGUCUGCAGCUACAGUAUUUUUGAUAUGUGCACUUGUCACUAGCACCAUUUGAAUUUCACUGUCCUACAAACAAAAAAAAAUUACAUUUCAACAUCCAGUUCUCAUAUUGAUAUAUUUACCUCAAAUUUUGUUACCUUUCCCGUUCAAACCCAUCUCUGAAUAGAAGUCAUUUGCAGAAGAUUCUUCAUCAUGCAACGCUUAGCAAGGUGCAAGUAUUUCACUAGGGUCAAAAUAUUAUUUGUGAAACUUCACUUCUAAAUAUUCACAAUUGUAUGAAAAUAUUUCUAAUCUUUCGCAUGAAAAUAUAUAUAUCAAAAUUGAAAAAAAAAUUAUGUUUUCUUUUCUCCAGUAAAUGCCUUACUAACAUGAAUAGAAUUCAUAUUCAUAUCAGCAAAAGAUAACCAAUUCUGCAUAAUAAUCUGACAUAACUUGCAGAGCUAUGAGAUAAUAUCAUAGGGAUAGUAUUACAAAUAAGGGGAUUCCUCAGUAAAAAGAGCCACCACUACAGCACCAUAUAUCCAGUAACACUAGUAACUAUUACAUGGAUAUUCUCUAUGAUAUGCCUUUUAUUACUCGGGAACAUAUACAACCUAUCCACUGACACAACAGUCGACAUAAAAAACAGGCACAAGAAUGUAAUCACCCUCAAUACACUACCAUAAUUCAUGCAAUGCAGCCACGAGAUGACCAACCUUGUAUCAAAAAAGAGAAAUUGAAAAAUAAUUAACCAAAGCAUUUUUAGCUACAUUACAGAAUUCUUAGCUUGUUAUCUUUAUAUCAAGAUUCACUGGUGUCUUAUAUAGGCUGUACCUGAAGCUCCAACAUCGAUGACCUAGGCCACAGACUGAAAAUCAGUAUUUAGCUUGUCAUCUCCACAUCAAGAUUCAUUGGUUUCUCUUCAGACACAUAGGCUGCGAUCUCUGACAUCUGCAAACUGUGCUGAUGCGGAAUUUGAUUCACCUCCUGUGAAUGGACUCCUCAACUGAGCCACACUGGGUCCACUUCCAUAGUAGAAGCCCUCAGCUGGGACUGAGGCUGCAUCUCAACUUCUGGAUAAGCAGCUUUAAACCUUGCUUGACGCCCUUCAUCCACCAAUCGUACUCCAUUCAACUGAUUACCUAGUGUCAUCCACCUGAUUUACUAACAUAACAGGUAAACUCAAAAGCCCAAAUUAUGUUUGGAAUUUAUUACAAGGACGAAAAUCACAAUCAACUAAAGCAGGAAAUCAGAGUAAAGUUUGCAAGUUAAUUCAUAUAUGUAAAAUGAGAAAACUCAAACAAACAAAAACGAGCAUUGACAUAAAGAUAUUUAAUAGUAGCACUCUAGCAUAUGUAAUUGUAUCAUAUUUACGCAAACCAAGAAUAUAUCACAAACAGUAAAGCCAAUAGCAAAAUCCAAAGUUUGAGAUGGACGUAAUAACAAUUGCUCCAAUAGAACAAAGAUAUAAAACAUAUCAAAAAAAUAUUGUUGUGUUCAGUAUGUUGAUCAAUCAAUUAUGGCAUAAAAGUUGUAUUGAAUCAGAAAACUGUUCCUAGAGGGCUGGUAUUUUUAGGAAUACUAGUAUGCAAUUUUUGCUUCUUGGGGACAACUCUUCAUCUCUAAAAGAAAUUCGUAUGUGUAGAUUUUGAAAAAGAACUUGCUAAAACAAACAAAAUGGAAUGUACAAGGGUAGAAAUAUUAAGACUGCCAAGAAACUGAAAAAUGAUGAAAUAAAUAGGCAAGAUACGAUAUUAGUCCCUCCAUCUCAUUAUAGUUGCUUCCUUUAUCAAGCGCAGGAGGUGUGGAUUUUAGGACGUGCCCAAAAAAAAUUUGUUUUAAUGCAUGCCCUGCCCGCAUGUUAUCCAUUGAAAAUCAUCACAAGUACAUGAACGUUAUUCUAUUAAGAAUGCAUACCCCGCAUGUGUGCUAUGCACGUGAGCAAACAACUCCAGCUUUCUUGUCCUUGGGCUUAUCCUCUCCAGCAUGGCAUACAGAUGCGAAGUAAUGUGCUUAUUAUACUAGUGCAGCUUUUCUGAAAAAGAUCAUACUCAAUAGAAACAUGAGUACAAAAAUAUAGAAACAAUAAAUAUAGUGAAAUAAUCUGGCUGAAGGAACCGAAUUUAGUAGUCAUCUGCUAAAGCAACAAGGAGGAAUGUAGCCCAGGAAUCACGAAAACUCAACGCCUCCUAGGUUGGGGGACAUUUCAGUAACUGAAACUCCUGUAAUCCGUUGCCGAAAAGUGGAUGAGUUUCCAAAAAAUAGUUUUUUGAAAAAAGUAAUAUUAAAAACAUUGGGGAAACACACCAAUUAGCAAUGGGGACAUAACUUGUAUAAUGGAUGAAUGAAGCGUAUUGUGAUGUGGAACGGAGGAAGAAAUUUAAAAAUUUUAUUAUUAAUUUUGUAUUGUUAUUUAGAGAUAAAUGUUGAGUUAUUAAUGAAAUUAUUUAGUAGGAUAUUAUACUAGUAGAUUUUCAUUAGGAGAUUUUUAACUGUAAUAGUAGAUUUCAAUUAGGAGAAUUUAUUAUAGUAGUAGAUUUUAGUUAGGAGAUUGUUUCCUUUCUAAAUUAGGGUUUUUACUUAAACCCCAAGUAUUGAGUUUUCUAUUUAAUACUUCAUUAUUUUUAGAUUAUUGAAUAUAUUGAUUUGAGAUUAAAGUUGUAUGCUUUUGUAUGUGUUUCUUUACCGAUUUUCUGCAGAGAUAGGUAUUCUUAUUUCUUUUAUCUACCCCGUUCUACAUCAUAAUGGUAUCAAAUCCAAAAUUCCUUAUAUCGUUUGAUUUCACCCAAUUCCUUCCUACCAUAUUUUUCUGACCUCCAUCAAAUUGUCGAAGUUCGAAAGAGAACCGACAACAAUUUUCGAAAUGAAAGCACGAUCUGCAGCAGAAAUCGUCGUCGUCGUAGUCUCAAUUUAUUCCAAAAAAAAAAAGUUAGGAGUUAGUGUUCAUCGCUACAGUGCCCACACUGUUCAUCAAAUUUCUGAUGUUCUGCCAAAUUAAAGUUUGGUACACCCAAAUUUUUGAAAUUUUCAAUUCAACCCCUCUACAUAUAUAUAAUGUCUUCCAAGUUUAACAAUCCAGACUUUCUUCGGACUAAGAUAAAGCAACUUGAGCAUCGAACUUUGGUCAUAUGCGAGCAACUUAAAAGGUCUUGUGUCUCGUAUAGUGCCGAGUAUUGAAAAUUAUGCAAUGAGCUUGCACUUUUUAAAACAAGUCUUAAGUUUAAAGGCACAUUACUAUUACACAACCACGUGCUAUGUUCAUCUAUAUUUUGUUCAAGCGCAAAAAAAUAUUCAUCCUAAUCUUGUUUGUUCAACUAAAGCGACGCGUUCACAAGAGGAGACCCAUAAAGUAAAUUCUUAUAAUACAAUUAAUGAAUGUCUCACAAUACGUCAAUACGUAUCAAUAACCAAAAUGAAAUUGGUGAGGAUAAAGACGAGCAAGUACUCUCACAUAUUGAUGUUUGUGAGAAACAUGAAGCGGAAGUUAAGUGUGUUGAAGAACUUGCAGAUUUAGAGAUGGUUUGCAGUGAGGAAAUUGAAGUCAAGUUUGACUCUAAAUGAAAAAACAUCAAGGAAGAUAAAGUUGAGGUCAACCAUGUUGAUUUUCUCUUUCCGGUUGAUAUAUUUGAGUCCCCAACUACUUCAAAUUUCUAUAUUAUGUCAUUGUUAUUCCCAAAAAUUGUGCUCAUGACAUUAAAACAUCGGAUGCGAAUGUUUUGUUCAAAGACAUCUCUCGGACUGUGAUUUAUUAUUUUACUAUAUUUUAAAACUUGAGAACGAGUUUUUUUUCAAAGGCGAGGAGGAUGACGUGGAACGGAAGAAGAAAUUCAAAAAUUUUAUAUUAAUUUUGUAUUGUUAUUUAGAGAUAAAUGUUGAGUUAUUAAUAAAAUUAUUUAGUAGGAUAUUAUAAUAGUAGCUUUUCAUUAGGAGAGUUUUAAUUGUAGUAGUAGACUUUAAUUAAGAGAGUUUAUUAUAGUAGUAGAUUUUAGUUAGGAGAUUGUUUCCCUUCUAAAUUAGGGUUUUUACUUAAACCCCAAGUAUUGGGUUUUCUAUUUAAUACUUCAUUAUUUUUAGAUUAUUGAAUAUAUUGAUUUGAGAUUAAAGUUAUGUGCUUUUGUAUGUUCUUUACUGAUUCUCUGUGCAGAUAGCUAUUUGAUAGAAACGUAAUUCAUACAUUUAAUUAUCCCUAAUUUUGUCCUUUUAAUUAUAUUAGUUUAUUAAAUUAAUAUGUUUUAUUUUAUUUUGUAGGAUUUAAUAUUUAUUGCAAUAAAGUCAAAAUCUUGGUGAUCAAGCAAUAUUUAAUGCUCUUAUUCAUAUAAGGAAUGUCCAAGAAGGAUCCUACAAGGAGAAGGAAAGAGGUGGAACAAUCUUAGUGUGCAAUUCAAAUCCAACAAGAGAAAGAAAAGUCUAUCUAGAAGAUUUUUUUGAGAAGUUGAUUGCUACUAGGAAGUUGAAUCCUACAUGGAAAGGGAAUCAAAGUGUCCAAGUUCAAUGAAUCUAAAUUAGGGUUCAAAGUUAUUUUCCCUAUAAAUAGGCCUCUUGUUUUAGAGAAAAGGCACCACUUGUUAUUUUCUUUUUCUCAGUUUUUCAGUAGUGUAGGAAAGAGUAAGAUAUUUAGAGUUUGUCCUUUCUCUUAUUCCAAUCAGUUGUGGUACUACUGUCAGGGAGUAUUUGUCACUUUCUUUUAUUUAUAUAAUAGAAAUUCUCUUUUUAAUUAUUGUUCUUAUUUCAUGCGAAUAGUAGUACUAAUAUUAUUUGUUUUUGUUUUUAAUUCCAUGGCUAGCUAAAUUUCUAAUACCUAGGAUUAUGAUGAAACUAAGUAUUUCAUAAUAAUAAUUUCUUUCCGUUCCAAUAAUUAUUCUCACCUUCAUAUUUUCCUCCGCAUAAAUUGCAUAUGAUUUUUAUAUUGAUUGCGAAGUUUUGAUAAGUUAUAGUUAAUCUGUGAAUUUUUCAUAACUUAUGCUUGCCCAUAUUAAUUAUAUGAAUCAUUAUUUUUAAAGGGAAGGGGAAAUAAUUUGGGAAUUGAUUUAGAAAAUAAGAAAUUAUUUAUUAUGUUAAUAUUUGGUGGAUUCUAAUUCCUAGGUAUCUUUUCUCAUUAAUAGUUUCCGUCAUUAAUUAAUAAUUUGCAUAAUUUAGUUAAAAAAUCUUCUCCACCAUUUUUAUUUCUAAUUUGCCUAAAAUAUUAAUUAAGGAUAUAUUAAAGAAUUAAUCUAGUCUCUGUGGGUUCGACCUGUACUUGCCAGUUCUUCAAUUUGACACUGUGCACUUGCAGUUACAUAUUUUAUCACAUCACUAUUCUUAUUUCUUCUAUCUACCUCGUUCUACAUCAUAUUGUGGUCGUGUUAAUAUGACUUUUGGUUGAAUUGUUAUUUUAGAAGUGUUUUGAAUUAUAUUAAUGGUGAACUGUGACGAACUGUUAUAUCUUAAUUCUUACUUUUAAUGGAAACACACAUACACACACACAAAAUAUAUAUAUAUAUAUAUAUAUAUAUAUAUAUAUAUAUAUAUAUAUAUACAUUUAUUCCAAGAAAAAUGAUUAAUUCUGACGGAACUAUUUCUUACAAAACUGAUUCGGUCAACAUUAACUUAAUUCCGACGGAAUAUUCAUCGAAAUUAAGCUAAUAUCGACGGAAUUCCGUCAAAAAUAGGUAUCACCCAUGGCGCGUGUUUUUACUGCCAGUGCACAAAUAAUUCUCGAUCGAAUAUGCAUUAAUCUCGACGGAAUGUUCGUCAAAAAUAAACUAUUAUCAACAGUAUAUUACCGUCUAGAUUAGCCUUUUUUCUUGUAGUGAUUGUCAGGGGCUUAUAGCCCGAACAUUAUAUUGGGGCCCGAACCCUUAUGACCCGACAAUUCGACAGGGCCCGAUACCAACCACGACGUUCGAACCAUGUUAAUUAUGCUUCUAGGACUCUUACCUAUAUCUAUUUAGUUAUAUUUGGGCUUAUAAGUAAUGGGCCUCGUCCGAUGAUAACGGAAACUUUCCCCAUGUCAGUGUAUGACCAAAAUAUUCAACUAUAAAUAUCUGGAGACUACAUUCACUCUCGAACAUACUAUACCUAGAUAAUCCUUGAGAAGUGUUUUCAAGCCUAAGGAAUUAUCAAUGAGAAGGUUAUCCUGCACAAUCUUAUUGUUUAACAUCAUACCGAGACCCAUUAGCACAAGGUUGUCUUCUUGUGUUGGAUUGACACAAUAACAAAGAUUUGACUGUGAAUUGACAUGCAUUAUGUAGUAGUACUUGGGACGUUUUAGCUCCGAACAAUUCACCUAACUGUCUUUGCCAGCAGAUCCAUAGAUCCAUAAAAUAAACAUAUGUUUCAUGAGGUACAGUCUACAUAGCACUCAAGACACGAUUAUAAGCCCUUUCCAUGAAGGAUUGCUCCAAUUCCACAACAUGCUUGAUGCAGUGCACUGGCUGAAAGUAACUCCAAUUCAGUGUAGAAUUUAGCAAUUCUAUUCUGCACAAGGAGUCUCUAAAGGUUGAGACCCAAGAUGUGGAAUUCCUGAGGGGAUGGUGGAAGACAGCCACUGCUCCAUCAAAAGAAACACAUACAUCAAUCUCCUUUGAGGUAUAAAUUAAUAUAAGAUAACUUGGAGACUAAAAUAGUUAAAGGAACAAUUAGUUUGAUGAAAUUCAUGCAAAGAUGACUUCAAGAAUAGAUAAAAACCCCACUAUAAAAGUUCAACCAUCCAAAACAUCACAUAAUGCGAAAUGCCAAUAGAAAUUGCAAGGCAAAGACUAAAAUAUCAGGAAAUGACUAUUAUACAAAGUGGCCGCAUAUCAAUCAUAAGCUUGUAUGAAUCAUGACAUUGUGGCUCACUUGUAAAUGAAUUGCUAUGCCUAUAAACAAACUGAUACAACAUAGUAGUCAACCAAUUAGGGGUCGGCAGACUGAACUAUAUGGUCCAAAUUCUAGACUUAAUACAUUGAACGAGUUAAGUGCAUGAGACGCAAAAAGCCAAAAUAUAGCAUCAAUCUUAGAUCACAAAUGUUAAAACCACCUCCCCCAAGUUUAACAAAUAUGGUAGAGAAAGAGAAAUUUAACGAAUUGUAUGGCAAUAUAUGUUGCAUGGUUCGUGAUUCUAAUAUUCAAUUGACUAAAGCAAAAUACAAUUUGUAUUCACCUUGCAUCCGUGUAAAAAGGCUUCAACUGGAAGAAGUCUCUAUCAAAAGCAUCCUGACCCUCGGUCUUAACACUUAAAACGACUGCAUGCUCAAAUAUAUAUAUAUAUAUAUAUAUAUAUAUAUAUAUAUAUAUAUAUAUCCCGUGAAAAUUUCUCAUACUAAGAAAUUAGGACAGAGACAGUAAUAAACAUGGAAGUAAUUAAAUUGAAGAAAAACAUUUUUCAAAUAGAUAUAUGUUAGGAUUAGAUCACACACACACGACAGUAAAGAAAUAACACAGAGAUUUACGUGGUUCCCCAAUUUGGAUAGUCCACGGGUGCGGUGUUCCUUUUGAUAUUCAACUUCAGUUACUUAGGGCUUUGCACUGGAUAGUAUUUAGAACUACUACCCCUAUUCUAACCCUAAUUCACAACAUAGUCUAAAUACCCAUAAUGUCUUUGUAAAAUAUCAAACCAUAAAACUGAUGUUCGCCGACCGGCGCGGCCCGCGCCGCUUUUAGACUGUCAGCAGUGCGCCUCGCGCUAAUAAUGCAAAAUCUUGUCCGCGCCCCGCGCUACUCACAAGUCUGUACUGGCGCGCCCCACGCUACCACUGCAAAAGCUCCGUUCGAGCUUCGCUCCCUCACUCCGCUACGCUGGAACUUUUCAGUUAUGAGUCACAAGUCCCAACGAUAUAGAAUAUUCUAACUUGAUGACCAAACUUCUAGAUAAGCUAGGAACACCGGACAUUUUAUGUCAAGCAUAAACCAAUAUAAUAUUCAUAUUUACAAGAAUAAGUUUUCCUCACAACUGCAAUUUUAUAAUAUUUUUUUCCUAUUAUAAUAGAUAAUUUAGUUCCUAAUAUCUAGAGGGAAACAAAACUCAAAUUACUACAACACGUUAUCUAAGGGUGAUACUGUUACAUUUUGUUGGGAUUUCGCCACUUUUUCUCAUUACACAUUUACUUUGGCCCAGAGUAAAUAACUUAGGUUCGCUCGUGUAAACGUAGAUAAAAAGAUCAACCCAUCUAUACUUCCCACUCUAAUUGAAAAUUUGGCAAUAAACAUAAAAAAAAAUAAAAGAGCCUUUUUUUUCCGAUAUUGGGCUUGUCCAUAUCAACAAGAACAAUAGUCAACAAUCAAUCUAGAUACAAAAAAAGCCAGCAUCAAUGGGUCCUAGUCUCUCGCUCUGUCAUUAAAAUUAUCAUGGGAACAUCCACGUAAAUCCUACACGAUGAACGAAGUCUACCAAAAAAAAUAUUAUCAACACCAUUGUUACAUGUAACAGACUUCAUAAAAAAAGAGUGUUAUCGAUAACAAUGCUAUCAACAGAUAUAUGACGAACUCAAGUGAAGAACAUUACUUGUUAUUGUCAACUCAUGUACCAUACGGCAUUAGUUGUUGCUUCAAAUAAUGGAGGAAUACUUCUUAAUUCUGUCACCAAGACCUGAAAGAUAGACAUGGUAGUAACACACAACAUAUGUAAUAACGAAAAAUCAACACUUAAAAAAGAACCACGGGAAAAUAAAAAUAUAUCACAUAUGUUCUUUAAAGGUCAAUAAGUUAGAUAUGUAAGCAGAAGUCCCACUAUACUUGUACAUUAGUAAACCCGGAGUCCUAUUCACAAUUCCCCAAUAUUAUAUCUUUUUACAAAAUAGCGCAUACUAUACUGAACAAGAUAUCUAGUUGGUUCCAUCAAGUCAAUACUUGCCAUUUGCCAACCAGUGUCCUGUAUAGCAAUAAUGAGAUGUGCAACACUGCAUUUCCUUAUUCUUGAAUAUUCAAACCAUUCUCCUUCGCACAGUUGUGACGUCUAAUUCAACAGUUACUUUCAUCAGAUAGACAAACAUGAGUUAGACCUCUAUGUCCAAUUGCCCACAUAUUGAUGCAAUCAAUGAAGUCCCCCUGAGUUCCAACUCUAAGCCAAAUUACUUUACUUCAAAUUAAAGCCAAAUAUGAAAACAGGAGCUUUUUUGGAGUUCAAUUCCUAAAUGUAAUCUUUUAAACUUCUUAUUUUACAAAAUAUAUCUGUGACUAUGUAUUUCCAUAAAGAUGGUGCCUUUAAGAUAGUAUGUCGGUUAGAACUCUAAAUACAUUCGUAACGUUCCUAAAUCAUAACAAAUCUGCCUCAAAAACAUUAUAAUGAGUAAUAAUCCAAAUAUAAUUAGAAAUCCUUUUCCGGUCCAUGAAUCGGAAUCCGCAUACGGUUAACAAGCCAUUGCACUACAGAAUUCUGACCUCUAAACCAAUAAUAAUAAAAAAGAAGUAAAUUUUAAAAUAUUUACAAGAUACUUCAUACUUGGGACUUCAGCCAACCAAGGAAUAAGGGAAAAAGUGGGUUUAUCAAUGUAUAAUUCCAGAGACAUAAAACUGAAGAAAAAAGGUUUAGGUUUUUAAAUAAAGAAUCUUUGAAGACACAGAGACAUGGCAUUGAAGGGGGACUAAGCAAAAAACGAGUUUAGGUAUUUAAAUAUGGAGUAAAGAAUAGUAUAAGAGUAAGCUGACCUUGAGCUGAGACAGGAUUUUGGUACAAAUAUCAAAAUAGUUCCGUACAAUAGCGGCUUAAAAUCGAUCGAAGCUUUGCAAAACCUCUGAGAGCUUUUGAUCCAUCUCCCUAUCGACUUCUCAGUUUUCUAUCGCAGAUUGCAGGACGAGAGCUCCCUUUCUUAUUGAUCUGAAUUUGAUUAAUUCGUACAUUACACUUCGCUGAUUGCAGAGGAAGCAAAAGAAAGCGCGAAAAACGCCGGAAACAUGAGUACACCGCAGGGAACCCAUAUAACCUGAGGGAACCCGAAUACCCGUCCAAAAAUGGGACACCGACCCGAACUGUACGCACUGUAAAUUCACCAAACAGUAACUGUACGAACUGUAAACAGCUCCCGAACUGCAGAGGAGGGAUAACCGGACGCUAAAAGAAACGGCGCGUCUGGGCGCGUCAGAGCUCCAAUUGGAUUGCGCUAUCUCCGGCCGUGCUGCAUGUCGACGACGACGACGAAGUCGUAGCCGGAGAGGCCAGCGAUCUCGGCGAGGGUAGGUGAGAAGCUGAGAAGAAAGAGGCCGUAGAGGGUGUCACCAUUUUUGAGGCGGGUUUUGAGGGUCGGAGGUGGGGCGAUGGUUGAUAGCGACGAUGAAGAGGAGGAGGAGCUGAUUAUCUGGGGUUUGUUGGUUCUUUGUUUAGAGAGACGGAUGAUGGUGGUAGUAGUAAUAGUGGGGGAGAAGGGGCGGAAUAAGGUUUUAGGAGAAGGAGGAAUGGAGGAGAAGGGUUUCUUGAGGGUUGAGAACAGUAAGAAAGAAGUAGUGGGAGUGAAGGAGGGGAGAGUGAUGGCCAUAGCUAGCGACUGAUUUUGGUGUUGUAGGUGUUCUGACUUCUGAGAAAUGGGUAUGUGGUGCUGUCUAUAUAUAUAUAUAUAUAUGACUACUCUGUGAGUGAUAAAUGACCUUUGUUUAAAUAUAUAUGACUACUCUGUGAUGGAUAAAUGGG